CCAAAGUUUAGUUGGGAUGGAAUCCAGCGCACUUGGGUCAUCGGGGACCCUUGCUUCCUCUGUGGGGGAUGACAUGUGCAUGAGUAGGGGUAGAGAGCAAAGAGCUGAAGUGUCUUUACAGGAAAGUGGGGUAAGUAGUUGGACCUGACCAUCAUCAGUGAAAGAGAUAGAAGCCUGAAGACGAGACAAUACAUCAGCUCCUAGGAGGUUAAUAGGACAGGUAGAUGAAACAACGAAACGGGAAAGGAUGUUAGAACCAACAUGCAAGAGUUUUGUUAAUGGGUUAUUUCGGGGGGUACCAUCAACACCCACACAGGAAACAUCGAGGUCAGACAAGUAAGAAGGAUCUGGCAGGUCUUGUUCUCUGAGAAC